AUUGAACGCUGGCGGCAGGCCUAACACAUGCAAGUCGAGCGGAGCGGCGGAAGGGUGAGUAAUGCCUAGGAAUCUGCCUGGUAGUGGGGGAUAACGUCCGGAAACGGGAGAUAAUACCGCAUACUAUCAGAUGAGUCUAGGUCGGAUUAGCUAGUUGGUGGGGUAAAGGCCUACCAAGGAGACGAUCCGUAACUGGGCUGAGAGGAUGAUCAGUCACACUGUGACUGAGACACGGUCCAGACUCAUACGGGAGGCAGCAGUGGGGAAUUGUGGACAAUGGGCGAAAUCCUGAUCCAGCCAUGCCGCGUGUGUGAAGAAGGUCUUCGGAUUGUAAAGCACUUUAAGUUGGGAGGCGUUACCAACAGAAUAAGCACCGGCUAACUUCGUGCCAGCAGCCGCGGUAAUUC
rnacentral:rRNA from 1 species